rnacentral:rRNA from 1 species
CCUACGGGACGCAGCAGUAGGGAAUCUUCCACAAUGGACGAAAGUCUGAUGGAGCAACGCCGCGUGAGUGAAGAAGGGUUUCGGCUCGUAAAGCUCUGUUGGUAGUGAAGAAAGAUAGAGGUAGUAACUGGCCUUUAUUUGACGGUAAUUACUUAGGAAGUCACGGCUAACUACGUGCCAGCAGCCGCGGUAAUACGUAGGUGGCAAGCGUUGUCCGGAUUUAUUGGGCGUAAAGCGAGUGCAGGCGGUUCAAUAAGACUUAUGUGAAAGCCCUUUGCUCAACCCGGGGA